UGCAAGGGAGAAGAGCAGCUGAAUACUCCGGCAGCUGUUCAAGGGGCCCCACUGCUAUAAAUAGCAGUAUUUCAGGGUUGUAAAAAGUAUUUCAAGGUUGUAAAAGGAAAUUAGAGCCAGAGAGCAAAAGGUCACACUGACCAGAAUACAAUCAAGCUGUAAAAACACAAUUAAGAACUGGUAAAUAGUGAAAUUUAUUGUUUAACAGAAGACUCGAGCCAUAAGGUUAAAGGUUAAAUGGAAGAGGUUGCUCUUAGAAACAGCUGCUGGUUAGGGAAAAGGCCUCUCUCCAAACUGUUUUGAAGCUUCAGAGAAUUUACUAAGUUCCUUCUAAUUUGAAAAGGCCUUUCCUUCUAAAAAUCUAUCUAUGUUAUGUAUGAAAUAUAUUGGCUUAAAUGUAAUUAUGCAAAGGAUUUAGAAAGUAAGAAAUGUUAGAUUCUUAUGUUAGAUUCCUAUUAUGGUGGGUGAGAAGGUGAACUCAAGAUCUCUUUAAGAUAAAAAAAUUAGAAACCAUGCACCAUCUGCUUUAGCCAUCUGGUUUGCGGUGAAUAGGGCAACAGGGGCCAAAGGUUAUCUGGUAAUUGAGGUGCCUGGUCGAGGUAAAUGUAAGAUAUAUGGCUACUUGUCUGCCAUUUAUGGAUACAAGGAAAUAUAGCUUUUGUCUCCCAUAAAAGGGAAUAGGAAAUGGGUGUAUCUUUUAUGAUUGGUUCUAGCAAACAACCAAUAGGAAUUUCAACCAGGCUGAUUGGACAGAGGCAGCCAAAGGAGGAGCAAGGGGGCUGGGCUGAGGAAAUAUAAGUGCUGGCCAUCAGGGCUGGAGUAGGCAGAGCUUUGGUAUCCAUAUACCACUGUGUCUCUCAUUUAUUUGUCUGACAAAUAAAUUAUUAUUUUAAUUUCUCUAUUGCUGCGUUGAAUAUUUCAUUCCAGCUAAGCGUUAACCACAAGCAGGGUGCUACAUUUUAUGGUGCCGUGACUCGGAUAAGUGGUCUGCUGGAACGCAGCCCCUUCGCCCUAGCGGGCAGGGUACAAGAGGGAGGACCACUGACCGCUUACCCAGCGCGCACUGGAACAUUUUUCCAGGGGAACGCAGAAGUCUCGUCUGUCUGAUACCCUGCUCACUGGCGGCGACGGACCGGGGGUAACCAGAGAAAUAAACAGGGAACCAGCUAAGGGUAAGUGCACAAAGGGGUUGUGGCCCUCCAAUUAAUUGGGAGGAAGAGAAGUCUUGAUCAAACUUCUGCGUCUCAGUAAGGGGGAACUGAGUACGCUAGGUGGUUGGGUACAUCAGAUGGUGGUCUGGUGGAGGGAAAAGGGAAAGAUUGGGAGGUAGAGUGUGGUGAAGUAUCCAGCGCAUUGUAUGUGUGAGAAAGUACAAUUUGUAGCUGACCUGAGUGUGGAGUGGGUAGUACUUCGGUUCCUAGUAAGGCGACUUCACUAGGCAAGGAUCCCCACGAAGCGUGUGUGUGAGUGACUGAGUGGAUACUUCACAGGGCCAUACAAUGGGAGUUGGAGGUUCAAGGGUGUGAAUAUUCACCUCUUGAAUGUAUGUUAAAUAAUUUUAAGAAAGCCUUCUCAGGAGCAUAUGGAGUCAAAAUGACGCCAGAGCGCUUGAGAACGUUAUGUGAAUUAGACUGGCCAAAACAAAAUACUGGAUGGCCACCUCAGGGAAGUUUUGAUAUAAAUUUAGCAAGCAAACUUUGGUCUAACAUCACCAAAGAAACUGGAGGGUGCCCAGAACAAUUUUCAUAUAUAGAUUCUUGGCUGAGCACAUUAAAUAAUAAUCCUCCAUGGAUAAGGGAAUGCAAAGUCCAACAAUGCAAAUUAUUGGCUGUAAAAGCCGAAGCUAGGAAAGGAAUCUUGCCAAAUAAACUCAAACCCAUUUUUGAGGGACCAGAGGAAGAGGUGCUUCCACCUCCACCCUAUGCUCCACAUCGAGGGAGCCUAAUCCAAACACUCCACCAGUUGUAACCCCAAGGCAAGAAAGUGGAAGGAAUAAUGGGGCUGGAGUCACAGAGCUUGAUUCCUUGAUAGAUUAUGAUAAAUAUCUUCAGGAGGCAUUGGAGUCCUAUAAUAAAGCCCAAGCAGAAGUGGUUAUUCCACCUGUGAGUCCCAGUAGAACUCCAUCUACAGUCUCCUUUAGUGGAACAACUGAUUGCCCACCCCAAACCCCUGUACAUCCAAGUCCUAGAGAACUAUUACAGGAGUUACAGGGAGACUUUGAUCGGUCAGUAAGCAAUACAGCCAGGCGUAUAAAGCUGUUAAAAGAACGCCUUGGGACAAAUACUAUCCCCUAUGAUUUGAGGCCCCUAAAGCAAAGCGAAGAGAAAGGUCACGUAGUAGCCCCUCUCAGAAGAGUAUUUGAUGCACUUGAGGAGCCUGUGCUGGUUAACGGGCAACUCGGACCACGGCCACCUCGAACUUCGACCCUCCAGUACAUUCCAUUCACAACUACGGAUCUGAUGAAUUGGAAAACACACACCCGUCUUUCGCAGAAAAACCUCAGGCUAUGAUGGACUUGGUGACUUCAAUAGUAAAUACUCAUAGUCCUACUUGGACAGAUUGCCGCCAGCUCCUGAAUACUCUGUUCACCACUGAGGAAAGAAGAGACAUAAUUGAAAAGGCACAGAUAUAUUUGCGUGAGCAGGCAAGGGUGGGACAUAUUCUUAUGGUUGACCGUCAUCCAGGACAAUUUUCCCUUGGAGGAUCCUAAUUGGGAUCCAAACAAUGCAAUUCACCUGGCCAGGCUUACCACCUACCGCCAGACGCUUGUGCAAGGUAUCCGCAGGGCAUGCCAGAAGCCCACUAAUAUGACUAAAGUCUCAGAAGUAGAACAGAAACCGAAUGAGAGUCCAGGAGACUUUUUAGAGAGGCUGCAGGAAGCCUAUCGUAUAUGGACUCCUUUUGACCCUGAAGCCCCUGCAAACAGCAGAAUGAUUACUGCUACUUUUGUGGCUCAGUGCGCUUCUGACAUUCGUAAGAAAAUUCAGAAGUCAGAAGGCUGGGAAGGGAUGCUGAUGAGCCAAAUUAUGGCCAUUGCACGCCGAGUUUAUCGGAAUAGGGAUGAGGCUGAGAAACAAGAGAAGAAGAAGUGGCAGAAGGAAAAGAUGGUGAUGCUAGCCACAGCAGUGAAGCAAGACUACCGCCCUUUAAAUGGAGGGAGAGGGCGGGGAAGGAAUCCACCACUGGGAAGGAAUCAAUGUGCGAAUUGCAAGAAGGAGGGUCAUUGGAAGCGGGAGUGUCCUGAACCCCUGAGGUUGGAAGAAAUACGCCCAGGCCCAGGCCCAGGCUCCGGCCCAAGAAACCAGGGACGGGGACGGGGAAUGAUCCGAGAUGGAAGAUAUCAGAGACCUGGACAAGGACGGAGUAGAGACAAUUUCAUUGGACUGGCAGAGGAGGAUUUUACCCAAGACUAGGAACGACCGGACUCCAUAAAGUUAGGCUUCCAGGAGCCCACGGUCAAAAUUCAAUUAGGGAGCCAUUUAAUAGACUUUAUGAUAGAUACUGGCGCUGAAUACUCAGUACUCCCAGAACUAUUGCAGAAAAAGGCAUCCAAAAGUGUAGUCAUUAAAAGUGCCACUGGUCAGUCAGCUAAGAGGUCUUUCCUCCAACCUUUAGAAUGCCAGAUUGGGGGACAUCAUUUAACCCAUCAGUUUUUGUAUAUACCUGAGUGUCCAAUGCCUCUCUUAGGUAGAGAUAUGCUGUCCAAAUUGCAGGCCCAAAUCACCUUCACUCCUCGAGGUCCAGAAAUGAAACUGCCAUCAAAGGCAGCAGGAAUAAUUUCCCUCUCAGUACCUAAGGAACAAUCAUGGCGCCUAAUGUCAGCCCUGCAAGUCCAACCCACAUUGGAUACAGAAUUAAACAAGCUCCUCCAGAACCCUACAAGUGCCACCAGGAGUAUGGGCCGAAAAUAGCCCACCAGGAAUGGCUAAGAAUAUAGCUCCAUUGUAGUAACCCUAAAACCUAUGGCUACCCCUGUAUCUGUAAAGCAAUAUCCUUUACCCGGCGAGCAGCAGAGGGCAUCCAGAAACAUUUGGACCGCCUAUUAAAAUAUGGUCUGCUUAAGCCCUGCCAAUCAGAAUGGAACACACCCCUUUUGCCUGUUCGGAAGCCUGGGACAGAUGAAUACAGGCCAGUACAGGACUUGAGGCUCGUAAACCAGGCUAUCGAGACCUUGCACCCAAAUGUACCAAACCCAUAUACCUUGCUGAGUUUGAUCCCACCAGAAGCAACAUUUUUACUGUAUUGGACUUGAAAGAUGCAUUCUUCUGUUGCCGGCUGGCACCACAGAGCCAACCUAUAUUUGCCUUCCAGUGGGAAGACCCUUUGACAGGAACAAAAGGCCAGCUAACCUGGACAAGAUUGCCCCAGGGAUUCAAAAAUUCCCCAACUUUAUUUGGCACUGCCUUGGCGAAGGAUCUAACAAGUUACCCCUCAAUACCUGGAAAAAGGUGGUUCUGCAAUAUGUAGAUGACCUUAUACUAGCGGCAAAGGAUUUUGAUACCUGUAAAGAAGGGACAGAGGAACUGCUCCACUUGCUCUGGGAAGCUGGCUACCGAGUUUCCCAGAAAAGGCACUAGUUAUGUUUAGAAAAGGUCAAAUAUUUGGGCUUUGACAUCUCACACCAACAACGAGCAUUGAGACCAGAGAGGAAAGAAGCUAUUUGCCUUAUCAAGGAACCUACCACAAGGAAACAACUCAGAGGAUUCCUGGGAACAGCAGGGUUUUGUAGACUAUGGAUACCUGAUUUCAGCAGUCUGGCCAAGCCCUUACAUGAAAGCACUCGAGGUGCAGAAAGGACCCAUUCGUAUGGGGACCUGAGCAGCAACAAGCCUUUUAGUUAUCAAACAACGACUUAUGGAGGCCCCAGCCCUUGGACUGCCUAAUUCGGAAAAACCCUUUCAGCUGUAUGUACAUGAACAGAAUGGGAUUGCAGCAGCAGUCCUGACCCAGAGAUUAGGAAGUUGGAACCGUCCAGUAGCUUAUUUGUCAAAACAAUUGGACUCAGUAGCAAAAGGAUGGCCUCCAUGCCUAAGGGCAGUAGCGGCCACUGCAAGCCUUGUCAAAGAAGCUGAUAAAUUUACCUUUGGCCAGAGCGAAGUAUGUGAAUGUACCUCAUGCUGUUCUGACACUCAUGGAAUAUAAGGGUAGUUAUUGGCUAACGAAUCCAAGGAUGGCUAGAUACCAAGGCCUAUUGUGUAGAAAAUCCCAGGAUUCAUCUACGAGUAGUGAAUAUGCUCAAUCCAGCAACUUUGCUGCCCUACCAGAGGUAGAUGAUGAAGAAUCACAUGAUUGUCUCCAAAUAAUGGAUGAAGUGUAUUCCAGUAGACCCGAUCUGAAAGAUGAACCAUUGAAAAAUCCAGAUGUUGUAUAUUAUACUGAUGGUAGCAGUUACCUGCAUGAAGGUGCCAGACAGAGCAGGAUAUGCUGUGGUCACCAAUGAGGAAGUUGUGGAAGCUGAAGCUUUGCCUGCUGGCACCUCAGCACAAAAGGCUGAACUUAUAGGUUUAACUAGAGCUCUGCAAUUGGCAGCCGGAUGUAAGGCAAACAUCUAUACUGAUUCUAAAUAUGCCUUCUUAACCCUGCAUGCACAUGGAGCUCUAUGGAAAGAAAGAGGUCUAAUCGGAGCCCAUGGGAAGGCCUUGAAAUAUGGACCUGAAGUAGAAAUCCUGUUGGAAGCAGUAUGGGCUCCAGAACAGAUUGCUGUAAUGCACUGCAAAGGUCAUGGACGUGGAAGGGAUCCAAUAACCAGAGGAAAUCAUGCUGCUGACAAAGCAGCCCGAGAGGCAGCCCAGAAGCCUGUGGGAGGAUUUAUAGCAGCCCUCAUACCAGAGGUAGUUCCAGAAGAAAUUAAACCUCACUAUACCCCAGAAGAGAGGAAGUGGGCUGAACAGGAAGGAGCGGUUGUGAAGGACGGUUGGAUGAUCCUGCCGGACAAUAGGAUUUAUGUACCUCAUCACCUAGCAGGCACAAUUGUAAGAAAUUAUCAUGAAUCUACUCACCUUGGCGGUACUGCAACCAGAGAGAGUCUCAGUCGGAAGUUGUAUAUUAUUAACCUAUCACAAUUAGCAACUUGCAUUUCACAGAAAUGUGUUCUUUGUGCUAAAAACAAUCCCAGGCAGGGACCGGUACAACCUCCUGGAAUCCAACAUGUGGGAUACGUCCCCAUGGAAAGCCUAAUUGUGGACUUCACAGAGCUGGUCCCUUCUAAGGGAUUCAAGUACCUCCUUGUGUUUGUAGAUACCCUUACCGGAUGGGUUGAAGCUUUUCCCACCAGGACUGAAAAGGCACGAGAGGUAACUAAGAGACUCCUCACUGAAUUGAUCCCGAGGUUUGGAUUACCUAGAUGCAUUGGAAGUGAUAAUGGGCCAGCGUUCAUUGAUCAAGUAGUACAAGAAGUAUGUCGAGUCCUACAAGUGAAAUGGAGACUGCAUGCAGCAUAUAGGCCUCAAAGUUCGGGAAAACUGAAAGAAUGAAUCGGACUCUGAAAACCCAAUUGGCAAAAUUAACCCAGGAAACAGGAUUGGGAUGGGUAGAUGUGUUACCCAUAACACUGUUUCGUGUUCGGUGUGCACCCACAAAAAGACUUAAGUUGUCACCUUUUGAGCUCCUGUAUGGGAGGCCACCCUCCUUUGUUCAGGAUAUUCCAGCUGACCUCAAACAAAUAGGAGACCAUGUGACACAGGGACAAGUGCAAUCUCUCUCCCGUGUUUUGUUUCUCUUAACAGGUGGGCCCUCGAGCGCACGCCGUGCAGCAUUGCCGAGCCGAUUCAUCAGUUCCAGGCUGGCGAUAGCGUAUGGGUGAAAGAGUGGAAACGUGAUCCACUUGCACCUAAGUGGCGUGGGCCUUACACCGUCUUGCUCUCUACUCCAACAGCGGUGAAGGUAGCUGAGGUGAACCCCUGGAUUCAUCACUCCCGUUUGAAGAAGUCCGAAGGCAGUUGGACGUGCAAAGGUGACCCCUCUAAUCCUUUUAAACUGACUCUCUCCAAAAACCCCUGUAUCUAGCCCUACGGGGAACGGGCUGGGUCACGGGCAACAUUAGAGCGACCGGCCUGCUGCAGCCACAACCUGGAAGCUGGCUGACCUGCGCACGCCUGAAGCUUGAGGAGCAUCUGAACCAGCGAUUGUGAACAGGAAGAUUCUCUUAUACAAUUGAUUGACUGCCCCCCCCCCCCCGUGGAACAAUUAUCAGGGAUAUUACUCAUUGGGGAUCCUCGGGAUAUAUGUUUGGUCUUGGUGGUUCCCCAUUUCUGUCAUUGGGGAAUUAUAUUGGGCCUAAUAUUUUUUGUUAUCACAAUAAGGUAAUCUUUUGUGGAAGAAAUGCAUAUACUAGACAUCAACAUGAUUUUAUUAUUAAUCCUGAUCCCUUGGGAAGGGGAAGGGUCCUUGAAUCUGACCAAAUUUGCUAAAUAUGGAUUCCGCCAUGACCACAAUAUGUGGGUAGGCUUAGCCGAGAUGGUAGCCAAUGUUACAAAUAGGACCAAUUGCCUUGUUUGCUCUCUUGGACCAGAUGAUUCAGAGGGAGGUAUGCCCUUAUUACCGAUACCAUUAAAUGCCAUUGGUAUGGUAAGCGAAAUGCCACACCAAACAGAAGUACAGAAUUUCCCGGAUGGAACUCAACUAAACCAAUACGAGUUAUACCUGUGCAAGGGGAAUUCUGUGUACAUAAAUUAUCAGCUGCAGCUGAUUCUAUCAUGAUAGGCUCUUCUCAUUGCCACUAUACUUGGGAUUAUAUUAAGAAUAGUCAAACCUGGGCAAACGGUACUACCUAUCGAACUCGGAAUACCUUGCCCUGUGCACCUCCUUUUAUUCAUGCAUGGAAACUGGUGUGGAACAUAACUGUGACAGAAAAGGGCAAUCUAACAUACUGCACUGUGAACUCUAUGCCCCUUUUGAUAUUUCGCCUUAUGCACUCCACGUACCCAAAACCUCAGACCCGAUGGUUGUGGUGGAUAUGUGGAGAAUGGGCAUACAAGCAACUCCCUCCCAAAUGGAGUGGGACUUGUUUCCUGGGAUGGGUAUUACCACCAAUGUGGAUUAUGCCCACUAGUUCGGCAAAGCGUACACGAAGAAACGCUGAUAUUUCUCAUAUAGCAGGAGGAAGUACCCAAAGUUGGAGUGAUACUGAUGAUUGGCCACCAGAGCGCAUUAUAGCCUAUUAUGAGCCUGCCUCCUGGAAUCCUGAUGAGCUCAUACAAGGGGCACGGGAUCCUAUUUAUAAUCUAAACAGAAUAAUUCGAUUGCAAGCAGUAGUGGAACUUGUAACCAAUGCAACGGCCCAGAGUUUGAGACUUAUUGCACAACAGUUGGAUGAAAGUAGAGCCGCCAUUUUGCAGCUGAAAAUGGGAAUGGAUUAUGUACUUGCCAGGCAGGGAGGCCUAUGUGGAGUCUUAAACUUGACAGGGAAUGCCUGUUGCUUUAACAUUUCUGAUAAUGGUGAGGCAAUCCGUGUGUUGGCCACAAAGAUGGAGAGUAUAGCACAUGUCCCAGUACAAAUAUGGGAAGGAUGGGAUAUGGGAUGGCUCACCAAUUGGUUACCUAAUGUUGCGGGACUCAAAGGGAUACUAUUGUCUUGCUUGUUUUUCUUGACGGUAGUAGUAAUGGUUUUAUGUACGGUGCCAUGUAUCAUUUCAUGUUUUAGAAGUACAAUUAGCAAGAUGAUUUCAAAUGAAACUUUACCUCAUAUUAUGGCCCUAUACAGAGCUUUACCUCAGGAAUAUGACGAAGGUCAAGCUAUCAAGGACACUUGGGAUGAAGGUCCUUGAGCUUGAAAGGGGGGAAUGAGGCAUCUGAUCAAAAUCUGCUUUGAGCUUAAAAAAAUUAUAUUUGUAAAUAUAUUUUUCUCUGCAAGGGAGAAGAGCAGCUGAAUACUCCGGCAGCUGUUCAAGGGGCCCCACUGCUAUAAAUAGCAGUAUUUCAGGGUUGUAAAAGUAUUUCAAGGUUGUAAAAGGAAAUUAGAGCCAGAGAGCAAAAGGUCACACUGACCAGAAUACAAUCAAGCUGUAAAAACACAAUUAAGAACUGGUAAAUAGUGAAAUUUAUUGUUUAACAGAAGACUCGAGCCAUAAGGUUAAAGGUUAAAUGGAAGAGGUUGCUCUUAGAAACAGCUGCUGGUUAGGGAAAAAGGCCUCUCUCCAAACUGUUUUGAAGCUUCAGAGAAUUUACUAAGUUCCUUCUAAUUUGAAAAGGCCUUUCCUUCUAAAAAUCUAUCUAUGUUAUGUAUGAAAUAUAUUGGCUUAAAUGUAAUUAUGCAAAGGAUUUAGAAAGUAAGAAAUGUUAGAUUCUUAUGUUAGAUUCCUAUUAUGGUGGGUGAGAAGGUGAACUCAAGAUCUCUUUAAGAUAAAAAAA
rnacentral:lncRNA from 1 species